GAUGAACGCUGGCGGCGUGCCUAAUACAUGCAAGUCGAGCGAACAGACGAGGAGCUUGCUCCUCUGACGUUAGCGGCGGACGGGUGAGUAACACGUGGAUAACCUACCUAUAAGACUGGGAUAACUUCGGGAAACCGGAGCUAAUACCGGAUAAUAUAUUGAACCGCAUGGUUCAAUAGUGAAAGACGGUUUUGCUUUCGCUUAUAGCUUGUUCCGCGCCGCAUUAGCUAGUUGGUAAGGUAACGGCUUACCAAGGCAACGAUGCGCAGCCGAACUGGGAGGGGGAUCGGCCACACUGGAACUGAGACACGCUCCAGACUCCUACGGGAGGCCGCAGUAGGGAAUCUUCCGCAAUGGGCGGAAGCCUGACGGAGCAACGCCGCGUGAGUGAUGAAGUUCUUCGGAUCGUAAAACUCUGUUAUUAGGGAAGAACAAAUGUGUAAGUAACUAUGCACGUCUUGACGGUACCUAAUCAGAAAGCCACGGCUAACUACGUG
rnacentral:rRNA from 1 species